UCAUCAUCAUCAUGACCGCCAUUAACAGUCCAGCAGUUGUUUGAGAUUACAAGGCAUUCGCUUCCAUUGACAUUGCAUCACAGUUAACCACCGGGAGUACACACCAAAAAAGAAAGAAUACCCUAGGGCUGAGGAAGAAGAGCCAAGCAAAGAACAAACUUUCCCAGGCUGAGAUUCAGAUCUCCGGCCAGAGGACAAGACUGCAGCCCGCUGGGUGGCAGAGAAGCUCGAGAUGGCCGUGGCCAGAGCUGGUCCACAGUAGCUUAGUUUCUAAGCGCCUAUUACAGGGUUAGAAGAAAGGCAAAGUGACUAUAUACACAAUGCACGGUAGAGCCAAGAGAUGCUUGAGAGACAACCGGUCCAUGGAGAACAAACUGCAGUUGGAGGCCAUGAAGUUCAAGUCCGGGACAGCAUUCCCAUGCACAACCCUCUCUGGGGAACGCAAACUCCAUCGCCCUCCCCAGGUUCAAAACUUCCACUUCCCCUUAGUGUUAGUUGGAAAACUUUUAGCCAUAACCAUAUUUAGUCAUAUCUGGGGAGGGGUCGGGUCAAAAGUCAAAAAGAAGAAAAAGAAUGUAUAUAUGCUUACGUAGCUAAGGUCACAGUUACUGCUAACAUACUUGUCUGGGAAAGCCUGGGCCAGAGGGCUCAGGACAGGAAAACAAACCAAGCCAAAUAAAACCUUUCCCUU